UACCAGCACCCCGAGUGGUCGGGACGUUUAUUGGGCGUAAAGCACAUGUAGGUGGUUUUAUAAGUCUCAUCUUAAAGCUCUGAGCUUAACUCAGAAUCUGGACGAGAUACUAUAAGGUUAGUGGUCAGCAGGGGCAAACGGAAUUCCCGGUGUAGGAGUGAAAUCCGUUGAUAUCAGGAGGAACACCAAUGGCGAAGGCAGUUUGCUAGGCUGAUUCAGACACUGAGAUGUGAAAGCGUGGGGAGCGAACGGG
rnacentral:rRNA from 1 species